AUGUUUUUUACAUCGCAGGAAAUCAAUAUCAAAUGGAGUCCAAACGCAACGAAACUCCUGGAGGAUUUUUUUGGGCCAGAAGAAAGCCAGUGGGCCAAGGAAGCACCUGGGGGGCUGCUCGAGGGGAGCAGCACCCACCAGGGCGUGCUAGGAGGCCCAGGCGCACCCAGGUGGGUGCUGCCCACCUCAGCCACCGCAGAGUCCAGAACCACCAGAUCCAAUCUAGACACCGUCAUGAAUGGGUUCAACACUUACAUUGGUGCCUCUCCUAUGAUGUGUGAGCAGUUCUUUGUAGACCUAAGGGUCCGUAGUUAG
rnacentral:rRNA from 1 species